rnacentral:rRNA from 1 species
GAGUUUGAUCCUGGCUCAGGAUGAACGCUAGCGGCAGGCUUAACACAUGCAAGUCGAACGGUAACAUUGGUGCUUGCACCAGAUGACGAGUGGCGAACGGGUGCGUAACGCGUAUACAACCUACCUCUUAUUAAGGAAUAGCUCAGAGAAAUUUGAAUUAAUACCUUAUAAUAUCAUAAAGUCGCAUGGCUUAAUGAUUAAAGAACUUCGAUAAGAGAUGGGUAUGCGUGAUAUUAGCUAGUUGGUAAGGUAACGGCUUACCAAGGCAACGAUAUCUAGGGGGUCUGAGAGGAUGAUCCCCCACACUGGUACUGAGACACGGACCAGACUCCUACGGGAGGCAGCAGUGAGGAAUAUUGGACAAUGGGCGCAAGCCUGAUCCAGCCAUACCGCGUGUGUGAAGAAGGCCUUCGGGUUGUAAAGCACUUUAAGCAGGGAGAAAAAGUUAUAAGUUAAUACCUCAUAACCCUGAUGUUACCUGCAGAAUAAGCACCGGCUAAUUCCGUGCCAGCAGCCGCGGUAAUACGGAAGGUGCAAGCGUUAAUCGGAAUUACUGGGCGUAAAGCGCGCGUAGGUGGUUUGUUAAGUUGGAUGUGAAAGCCCUGGGCUCAACCUAGAACUGCAUCCNAAACUAACUCACUAGAGUACGAUAGAGGGAGGUAGAAUUCAUAGUGUAGCGGUGGAAUGCGUAGAUAUUGUGAAGGAUACCAAUGGCGAAAGCAGCCUCCUGGAUCUGUACUGACACUGAGGUGCGAAAGCGUGGGUAGCGAACAGGAUUAGAUACCCUGGUAGUCCAUGCCGUAAACGAUGUGUGUUAGACGUUGGAAUUUAUUUUCAGUGUCGCAGGAAAACCGAUAAACACACCGCCUGGGGAGUACGACCGCAAGGUUAAAACUCAAAUGAAUUGACGGGGACCCGCACAAGUAGUGGAGCAUGUGGUUUAAUUCGAAGAUACGCGCAGAACCUUACCAACACUUGACAUGUUCGUCGCGACUCUAAGAGAUUAGAGUUUUCGGUUCGGCCGGACGAAACACAGGUGCUGCAUGGCUGUCGUCAGCUCGUGUCGUGAGAUGUUGGGUUAAGUCCCGCAACGAGCGCAACCCUCACUUUUAGUUGCCAUCAUUAAGUUGGGCACUCUGAAAGAACUGCCAGUGAUAAGCUGGAGGAAGGUGGGGAUGACGUCAAGUCCUCAUGGCCCUUACGUGUUGGGCUACACACGUGCUACAAUGGCAUCUACAACAGGAAGCAAAACGGCAACGUUAAGCAAAUCCCGAAAAGAUGCCUCAGUUCGGAUUGCACUCUGCAACUCGAGUGCAUGAAGCUGGAAUUACUAGUAAUCGUGGAUCAGCGUGCCACGGUGAAUGCGUUCCCGGGUCUUGUACACACCGCCCGUCACACCAUGGGAGUUGGUUCUACCUUAAGGCAAGGUUUUAAACCCUUGACCACGGUAUAGUCAGCGACUGGGGUGAAGUCGUAACAAGGUAACC